CCACACCGGCGAAGAACUAGACUUGUUACUUCGGUGGACAGGAGAGGAUCAUCUAAGCAAGUACAGAGUUUAAAAGUUGCAAACGCUGGUAAGCCUGUUACAGCACUGGAAAGAACUUAGAAACUCCUAGAUAGCCGUUAUGGUUCUCCAGAGAAAGUGGAAGUUGCUCUCAAGAAGAAACUGAACUCUGUCCCUAAGAUGAAAUUAAAGACAGGGGGGAAAUGUAUGAACUUUCUGACAUUCUGUCUGAAAUAAGGGCAGUAAAGGAGAGACCAGAGUAUGCUGGACUUUUAAGUUUCUAAGACACUUCUAUGGGAAUCAACCCUAAGGUAGCCAAAAUGCCGCCCAACUUACUGAAUAAGUGGCGUGAUGGUGCCGCUAUGUACAAGCGUAUACACAGUGUGUUAUUCCCACCCUUCACGUACUUCUGCGACUUUGUGCAUGACAUGGCCGAAGUAUUCAACGACCAAAGCUUUGACUUCGAUAUGAAUACAAACACUUACAGUAAUGGACCGCCAAUGAGAAAUACUAUAGUGUUAACCUUUUAUUUUGUGCAUAUGAUUAUACACAUAUGAUUAUUUGCAUACAUAAAAUAAGCUGAUCAUAAAUGAAAGAAAGUACAGAAGCAUUUUACCAUUUGCUUUAGACACAAUAAAUAAACUGGUCUGCCAGAUCCCUGAUGUUUUAGAACGGUGUCUGAUCUGGAUUAGCUUGGCUGCGCCUGGGCAGCUACAAGAGGAGUUACAACAACAAAAGUGGAAGAUGGGCGGUUCACCCUGUAAAGGUGAAGAAAGCUUUGGAAUAUAUGCCAUCACUGCUUGAAAAGAUUCUUCUGUCCAGCGUAUCAAAUGAGCUAGGGAUGAACCAACUAGUGAUACUGGACGCAGAUGAUCCAAGACGGUUGUCCUUACAUCUGGCUCCACUCCCACCACCAACAGAUCAGCUUGCUUUAGAACGGAAGUCAAGAUUCAUUUAAUGACAAAAAGACAUAAAUAUUGGAGAAACAUAAGAUAUAAAGUGCUACAUGUCAAUUUAAAACAAUUGUAUGAUUACUUUAUUUUUAGCUAAAAAAUUGAAUAAAUUUGUACUGAUAACAU
rnacentral:sRNA from 1 species